CCAAAGGCUCUUUUCAGAGCCAUCCACAUUUACACUUAAAGAGCUU
rfam:Ictidomys tridecemlineatus contig091240, whole genome shotgun sequence.